rnacentral:lncRNA from 1 species
UGUGUCCUCCCAUGCAGGCCCGGGACUCGGUCCGCGCCUCGGCUGUCGGGCUCCUGGGGACGUUGGUGCGACAGGGCCAGAGUGGGCUCCGUGUGGGGCUCCGCGGUCCCCUGCGGAGGCUCAUCCUACAGAGUCUGGUGCCGCUGCUGUUGCGCCUUCACGACCCCAGUCGGGACGCUGCUGAGAGCUCGGAGUGGACGCUGGCCCGCUGUGACCAGGCUCUUCGCUGGGGCCUGCUGGAGGAGAUGGUCACUGUGGCCCACUAUGACAGUCCUGAGGCUCUAAGCCGUGUCUGCCGGCGCCUGAUUCAGCUCUACCCCAACCACCUGCCCCGCUUCCUGAGCCAGACCCAGGGCUAUCUGCGGAGCCCUCAGGACCCACUGCGGCGCGCUGCCACUGUGCUCCUAGG